UUAUAACAUACCCUCACAUCAGGCCAUACACACAACCGAAGUGAAAGAUUGGCCUACACAUCGGCUUAUAUUCAAAACCGAUGUAAGGACCUUUCUCUUGUUUCACAAAACGCUAUCCCUUCCUUUUCACAAAACCCAUUCCUCUUCGUGAACUCAACCUUCUUCUCUCACGCCGCUCUUCUUCUUCACAAAACAAAAGGAACCACGACACCCUCUCCGUUUCUGAUCAGAACGCCUCCGUGAUUCGAGUUCUGACCAACUCCAUUUUGUUGGCUCUGACGCCUCUCUCCAUCUUUGAUUCUGCUUCACCCAUCGUCGUCACAGAUCUCAUCCUCUUCGUCCGUUCGUUGUGGGUUUCUCUUCUACGAUUCCGAAGAAGGUGUAGAUCAUGGUUGCUCGAUUUUUGUUUGGGUUGCAAGCGAAAUGCAAAGAUGACGAUGAUAUUGUUGAAGGUUCUUGCGAUUGAAGCUCGAAGUGUUGAAGAAGCGUAGAGUCCUCUUUGAAUCUUCUGUUCUUGAGAGAAAUGAACCCAUGAUGGUUCUUCUUGUUAAUAAGGAAAAGGGUUACAUCGAUCUCAAUAAACGUAGGGUUUUUUAAGAAGAUAUUCAAGCUUGUGAGAAAGGCAUAAUAACAGUAAACCUUGAACCUCGAUUUAGAGAUAUUGACAUUGAAAAGUAGAGAACCAACUGAGCAAAUCAACUUUUAAUACUAAAACACAUGUUUUCUCACAUGAUCAAAGAAGAGAGCUUGAGCAACAUAUUUUGUGGCAAUGAUGAUCAAUUUGAGGUAUGGCCAUGGUUGGAGAAGAAACACUUCAAUUUAACAAAUAUUUGGCUAAUUGAGCAUAAGUUAAGGGCUAAUAAACUAUCGGAGAUUGACAGAGGAUAUAUCUCACCUCAGUUUGUUACAAAUCCAAAGAAAUCAACGGUUGAAUUUGAGAAUGCAAAUGUCUUGAUUACCGAUCAAAAGAUUUCAACAAUCAAAGAUAUAAUUUCUCUGAUGGACUCUGCUGGAGAAAACCACUCAAUUAAAAGCUGAAGGUGUUGAAGUGUAUCAACAAAAUAGGUGGGAGAGUUUAUCUGAUUAUUGAAGAAGCUGUUGUUGCAGGCUGCAAGAGUAAUCAUCUCAAAACAAGUUGUAAUGUAUGAAUUAAAGGCUCCUUAUAAUUCAACUUUUCUUAUGUCACAUUGUAUAAUUAGGAGAUGCAAAUGUGUGUGUAAAAUAAGCUUCAUAUUGUUUUCUGUGUUGGAUUUCAUGUCCCAUGUUGUUAUGUAACAAAUGUGAGAUUGGAAUAAAUUAUGUACUAGUUUUGAUAUUCUUGUUAUAUGUAUGAUAAGUUUCUUGUGUA